AUACCUGCAAAAAGAGAGAAAAUAAUUAGACAGCUGAAUUAGAUGAUGGUUCUGCUUUGGUUUCUUUGUAAUAAGUGAUGCAGUGGGAUAAAUACUUCCACUGACCCAAAAUGGCAUUUAGAGAUGCAUGGGGAGAAUAGCAGCUAUGAAAUCAGUAGACAUGCACAUAAAUGUUUUGCAAUGCAUUUGCCUCAACUGCAUACAAACAGCCAUUGCCACUGCAGCUGACACAGCAUGGAUAUGAAAAGGUAAUCAUGGUACCCCAGAGAUGGUGAUAAAUGGGCAUGCAGGUUACAUUUAUGCAGCUCUCACCCUCCUCUUGCCCUCAAAACCUUUUUUUUUUUUUUUUUAAACUUAUUUUGGGUUAAAAUGAAAUUAGGUGAAGAAUUUGUCUUGAAAGAUACGUGCUUUAUUUCUAAUUAAUGAAUUUCAUUUAAACUAGAAACACAAUUUGCAAGUGUUCAGGUGACCCCAUGUGUAUGAACAGUUAGCACUGCAGAUAUUCCAGAAAACAAUUCACUCUAUGCUCAAAAAAUCUUUCAUUUGGAAAAAUAAAACAAACACCACCAAGAAUAAAGUAACAACUAGAGGAAAUUAAAUAAACUAUUAUCUAACUUAAUUUCAUUCCAGAUAGGAGUGUAUUUCUCAUGAGCAUCACUUUAUAUUGUCGCUAAGUAUUUGGACUAAGUAUUAACAGUUGAAUUUUCAGCUUUUCUGAGUGAGAAAGGUAGUUCAACACCUCAUUUUUAGAGAGAAAAAGGAAAACUGAAGGAAAGCACAAAAUGCAUCACUUUUCUCAUGUGUUUAGUUAUUUUUACUGGAAGAAAAGUUGUUUUUGUAUCAACUUCUGUAACAGAAUCAGCAUUUUCUGUGGCAAAGGUAUUAAAAAGGCAAAAAAUGCGUUGUUAAUUUUAUUUUUAUCAAAGCAUUUCUUGGCUUACAUCUGACUGAAGUAGGUUGAAGGAGAGAGAGAGAAAAGGGUAAAAGAAGAAUAAUGGAUUGGAAGAAGUCUGGUGUGUGAUAUUUUGGUAUAUAUUCAAGUACAUGUGUUUUGGAGUCUACACUGUCAUUAGUUUUCUCUUCUUACUGACUCAUGGUUUGUGCAUCAGCUGCCUUACUUAUCAGCAUAGCAUCCAAAGAAUUGAUCUAAAGAUUCAGACUUGUAGGGGUUUUUUUUGUUUUGUUUUGUUUUGUUUUGUCUCCUGUGAAUCUACCUAUUUGUCACUGACACAGUAUUUUGUUAAUUUUUCAUAGAUAAGAAAUAGUAAAUGUGUCUCUAAAUUACUGGGUACCUUUUACCCUUUGUGCUGUGCUGUUUUGUUAGAAGUAGUGCUAAUAUGUGCACUAUGGACUUUCUGAAGAACCUUCAAAAGUCGUUGAUCACCUCAUUGCAUAAACAUGAAUGCAGUGUCACCUGCUGUGUGAGUUGUGAUGGGACCUGUCUUUGAGCUGAGAGAGUAAACGUGAGAUCUUCGUGGAUUAUAGAAAUGAUCAGCUUUCAUUAGCCUGGCAUUAGCAUCCUGGGACACAGCCAUAUACAACUAACUAAUUUUACUUUCAUGCAUUUUCCUGCUGAAGUCAGCUCAAUUACUGACAGGCCAUGUACUAUGAGGCUUCCAGCAGUGAUACCUGCAACUCCAUUAAACCAGUCAACCACCUGUCAUCAAGAUUUGUCAGAACAUUUGUGGCAAUAUGUUUUGUAUUUGCUUACUUCAAAGGAAUUUCAAUUCCUGGCUAAGAGCAGAGAGGAUAAAAUGAAUUAAUAUCUGCAACUCCUUAGUGCUCCCAGUUUAGCGUCACUAUGGGGAUCGUUUCACUGAAGCUAGGGGAAAUUACUGUCAAGAAUCUGUGCUUUAAAACAAAUGUUCUCAGUAGUUAUAAAAUGCAUUGGAGCAAUAUGCAGGUUCCUGAGUUAAUUACCAAGUGGAUGGAUGGAACUCUUUUCAGUACUUUGAAAGAACUGAAUUUGUUUUGGAGCCUCUUCAGCCUUCACAGUACUAAGUAACAUAGCUUGAAACUCAUUUUUAAGAGCUGAUGCCCAUUCAAAGUACACCUUUCACGUGAGGCCACUGCUCAGAGCUUUAUUACUCUAGUCUUCACAGGUACUUACUUGGAUCAAGUUUUAUUGACUGUCUUGCUGGAUACCACUGGGGAUCUGUAAAACCAUGAAGAAUUUUGUGAUAUACAAUGUUUCUUAUAAAUUAUCCACUGUUACAAUGAAUGAAACACAACACAGAUUUAUUUGAAGAUAUUUAGGAAGGUGUAUCAGGCUAGUAUAAAAAUUGUAUUGAAAUCUCACUAUGAUCACAUUCAUGUGCAGAUUACCUCACAUUGUCAUAAAAUCACAGAAUGGCCUGUGUUGGAAGAGGCUGUAAAGAUCAUCUAGUUCUAGCCUCUAAUGUGCAUAUGCAUCACGUUUCACCUUAUAUAAUUUUUUCUUAUUUAUAUACUGGAUAUUCUGAUGCAAUACAAACUGUUGCAAAAGUUAUACUCACAUAAUUUAUGGAACAUUGAUCUUAUCUCCCUAAUUGUAGCAUUUGGUUCCACCUAGGCAAAAAAGAACAUAUUUAUAUAUAUGUAUAUAUAUAUAUACGUAUGUAAGAUACGUAUUUUUAAAGACAGCUGUUAGGAUUGGUAUGAAUGAUUCAAAACACUUCUUACAGGAAAAGUGGAGGACCUGAUUUGUGACAUCUGUUUCAGAGGCAGCUACUGUGGCAGUACUCAGUGUUACUACAGCAGCAGUGACAGUUUGAUGGCUUCUAAAUGAGUAAGGGACAACUGGCACCAUCUUAGAGAAGCAAGUGAAAUUGUGCUCUUUGCACAAGAGGUAUGAGUACGAAGCAUAUGAAGCAUGAACAGUUAUUGUCUCCUUAAUGCCAAAGAAGGGCUGUCAAAAUACUUUUCGCAAACAUUAACUUUGCUUUAAAAAGAGCUAGCAAUUUGUAAAUAGUCACCUAAUGUUUUGAGCAGGUUUUUAUUUUACCUUAUCUAAGAAGCAUAAUUGUUCCUUUGUCUUCCAGUCAAGGAUUUCCACCUGAUAGGACACAAAACAAUAAUCAUUAAUUACUGACUGCAUAAUAUCUAAACUCUUAGUUGACUCUCAAAUUCACAAUCACUAUUCAGAAUGAGAUACCAUUUUUCUAUGAUCUACAUGUGAGAAGCAAUUCUAAUGUGCUCAAGAGACAGCUUUAAUCAGAGACAGGAUCUCAAAUAACUCAAUUUGUGACAAAAGUAACACUUGACAAAUAAGUUGUCUUCAUGGAUAAAUUCAGAAGCAGUAGUAGCUAAUUUACUGACCAAAAGAUGCAUAUUCAGGGAUGUUCUCUUAAACUAAAACAAAAAGAGCAAAUAAAGAGAAGUUUCACGCAAAUCAUUAAGGAACAAAUUUGUCUUCAGAAUUGUUCUGAUUUGUAAAAUGAGACAAUUCAAGAAGAAAUGUAAAUGUGCACUACAUGCAUGUAAGCAAAUAUUUUGAAUAUGUAUAGAAUGAAGAUUACCGUGCAUUGUUCCUGGAAUUUGUUAAUUGUGAAGAGAGUAAAAAACCUCAAAUGACAUAAUGAACAAAUGCAGCUAAAAAUGGAGACUUCACACAUCAUCGUGAUACAUGCAGCAUUGUAUGUGAUAUUAUGUUAUUCUUGCCUCUCAGAUCACCUGUAUUACAAACUGCGUAUCAGCAUUUUAUAUUCCAAGCAGCUGAGACAAGGAUAGAGUAGACUGUUUUGAUGAUCAAAUGACAUUUUGGCAAAAGAUUUUAGGAGUCCAGUUACAGCAGGCUCUUACAAUACACUGGUUGUGUUUUAAUUCCAUUUGUUUCCAUCAAACACUUAGCUGUACCACAGGGUCCAUUACUAAGUUUGAAGGAUCAAAGCUUAUCUGUCACACUAAAUGACUGUGGCUAUCAUUACUCAGUUUGGGUUUUGCUCUUUGGUUUUGUUUAUUUUUAUAAUAUCUACCAUUAAUUACGUUUGGUAUUAACUGACCAAGAGGACAGAUUAACGGUAGACUUUAAGUAUGACUCCUGGCUAAAAAUAGGAGUCACAGUCCAGUAUCUUUCUGACAGUUUCUUUGAAGAGAUCACUCAGUUAGAGUGUCUUGUUUCCCCCUUUUACUUGUCCCAAAUUGUUCUUUCUCUUUUAGUGUAGCAAUGAAGCACUUCAGCUCCAGCCAGUAGUAUCAGAUCUCAUCCCACAAGGGAUACUAAUGCAGUAGUAUUUUCCACCUGCACCCUGUAAGCUCCAAAGGAAGUGCCAAGGGAGGUGAGCACUUCUCCUCCUUUGCAGUUCAUGAAGAAUGUAAGCCACAUUGGGGUAUUAUGUAUUUCUCUCUUUGUUGCUGGUUGUUGUUGUCGUUUAAAUACAUAUUUGAAACGAUGUAGAUUACAAGAGUUACUGCCUCUGUGGGAGAUCCCUGUGGGAAAGCAAACAAAGUGAAUUGUGUUAUUCUGCAAUACUGACCUACAGUAUUCUGACUCUCACAAGCCACAGAACAGGUACUAUGGGGGCUGUAAACUCAUUUUUGUCCCUUGAAAUGCUGAGUUACUACAAGGUUUAUUGAAACCUCUGGUGUAUCUCAAAGUUUUUGUAUCAAAAAACACCACUGGGCAGCCCUACUGACUACAGCAGUGAGUAACUUAGAAGCCUCCUCCUCAUUCCAUACCCAGGGACAGCAUAUGCAUAUUGGAUUGGAAUCUCUACCCAGGCAGUUCUAUUCUAUGACUUUCAGUGUCCAUAUUAGAGAAGUCCUCUCCAGGCCAAUUACAGAGCAGGCUGGCCAUCUUUCUGCCACUUAUGCUCUUCUAAUUAGUUUACUCUCAUUUUGCACAAGGCCAGACAGAAAAUUACAAAACAUUUUCUUUUGCUCUGUGUUCUUCCUGGGGGAAGCUAUGCAGAAAUUCUGGUAUUUCUGUGAACCAUUGGAAUCAGUAUGGGAAAGAAGCAAACAAAAACAAACAAAUAACAACAAAAUAAUCCAGGA